rnacentral:rRNA from 1 species
GACGAACGCUGGCGGCGUGCUUAACACAUGCAAGUCGAACGGAAAGGCCCUGCUUUUGUGGGGUGCUCGAGUGGCGAACGGGUGAGUAACACGUGAGUAACCUGCCCUUGACUUUGGGAUAACUUCAGGAAACUGGGGCUAAUACCGGAUAGGAGCUCCUGCUGCAUGGUGGGGGUUGGAAAGUUUCGGCGGUUGGGGAUGGACUCGCGGCUUAUCAGCUUGUUGGUGGGGUAGUGGCUUACCAAGGCUUUGACGGGUAGCCGGCCUGAGAGGGUGACCGGACGGAUGGGAGCUGGAGGACGGCCCAGAGUCUGAGGGGGGGCAACGUUGGGGACGGUGGGGGACGGGGCGGGCGCCUGAGGCAGCAACGGGGGGGGGGGGAGUACGGCCUUGGGCGAGAAACCAGCUACCGGGUAUGAGGCGGAGGGAGGGGCGGUAAUGAUUAAGGACGCGCCGGCUAACGACCAGAAAGCAGGCGGGGUAAUAAUCGGAAGGGCAGACGGAGGACC